UCUGCCUUUGAUGGAUCAUCUCCAGCUUCUGCUAUAGUCGCCGUUGACACAAAUCUGGACACAUCCACUCCUGACACUUAUCGGGCACCCCCUGCACCAUUGCCUUAUGAUGUUAGUUUGCCAGUUACAGAAAACCCAGAUCUGGAGAAGUCAGAUAUCAAAAGCAAAACAGAUGAUCAGCAGGAAUCUCUGAAGGUGGAUGAAUACGAAUCAUGUGAAAAAGGUGCCCCUGAAGAUAAGAUCGAGGAGGAGGAUGUUUGCCCUAUCUGCCUUGAAGAAUAUGAUGAAGACAA